UUUCAUCAACGGGGAGGACGACGAGGCGACGAUCUGUCCGGGUUCAGGGGCCUGGUUCUUGAUCUCUCUUAUAGGCCUGUGAACGUUGUCUGCUGGAAGCGCGCAAUUUGUUUGGAAUUCAUGGCGAAGCAGCGCUCAGAGGGGC